UGGUCGAUGAUGACAUGACCAUUGUGCAGUUUGAGUUCUAGGAACCAGGUGAUGGAGUGUGUGCUGAAAGUGGACUGAGACCG
ensembl:scaRNA